UAGGGAAUCUUCCACAAUGGACGCAAGUCUGAUGGAGCAACGCCGCGUGAGUGAAGAAGGUUUUCGGACCGUAAAGCUCUGUUGUUGGUGAAGAAGGAUAGAGGUAGUAACUGGCCUUUAUUUGACGGUAAUCAACCAGAAAGUCACGGCUAACUACGUGCCAGCAGCCGCGGUAAUACGUAGGUGGCAAGCGUUGUCCGGAUUUAUUGGGCGUAAAGCGAGCGCAGGCGGAAGAAUAAGUCUGAUGUGAAAGCCCUCGGCUUAACCGAGGAAUUGCAUCGGAAACUGUUUUCUUGAGUGCAGAAGAGGAGAGUAGAACUCCAUGUGUAGCGGUGGAAUGCGUAGAUAUAUGGAAGAAUACCAGUGGCGAAGGCGGCUCUCUGGUCUGCAACUGACGCUGAGGCUCGAAAGCAUGGGUAGCGAACAGGAUUAGAUACCCUGGUAGUCCAUGCCGUAAACGAUGAGUGCUAAGUGUUGGGAGGCUUCCGCCUCUCAGUGCUGCAGCUAACGCAUUAAGCACUCCGCCUGGGGGAGUACGACCGCAAGGUUGAAACUCU
rnacentral:rRNA from 1 species